UAAUACGAAGGGGGCUAGCGUUGCUCGGAAUUACUGGGCGUAAAGGGCGCGUAGGCGGCCCAUCAAGUCAGGCGUGAAAUUCCCGGGCUCAACCUGGGGACUGCGCUUGAGACUGGCGGGCUAGAGGCCGAGAGAGGGUGGUGGAAUUCCCAGUGUAGAGGUGAAAUUCGUAGAUAUUGGGAAGAACACCGGUGGCGAAGGCGGCCACCUGGCUCGGUACUGACGCUGAGGCGCGACAGCGUGGGGAGCAAACAGGAUUAGAUACCCUGGUAGUCCACGCCGUAAACGAUGUGUGCUGGAUGUUGGGAAACCUAGUUUCUCAGUGUCGUAGCUAACGCGGUAAGCACACCGCCUGGGGAGUACGGCCGCAAGGUUG
rnacentral:rRNA from 1 species